AAAGAAGAGAACACUGCGGAAGAAAGCAGGACCCACACCAGAGCUAGAGACUGCCUGCCUGCGCUUCACCUCAGCUGUACAAAGGACGUAGGUAACAAAGCAAGUUGGUACCAAGGCAACAUUCCAAGAUGACGUGAUGGGGGAGCGCAUCCUGUCCCAGAGUUUGGCCCAGGGAAUGAGGAGUCAUGCAGCAGCCGGGUGGGACAGAGGAGGCCACUGGGCAGCCCAGCGUCCGGGGAGAUAAGCUAAGCCUACACCCCUGUGCCCUCCUGCGCUCUUGAACCUGCAGUCUAGCGCCUCCCUCCCCUCGUGCUCUCCAUUCAGCCAUCAGCCGGGUAUGAGGCCUCUGAUCAGCACUGAACCUCCAUGAUCAAGGCUGCCCCUUUGACUUCUGUUUGCCUUUUUGUAUCUAUCUCUCUAGAGCCUG